rnacentral:rRNA from 1 species
GAUGAACGCUAGCGGGAGGCUUAACACAUGCAAGUCGAGCGGGAUUCCCUUCGGGGAUGAGAGCGGCGCACGGGUGCGUAACGCGUAUGUAACCUGCCUUAUACAGGGGGAUAGCCCAUGGAAACGUGGAUUAAUAUCCCAUAGGACAUUUGAGCCGCAUGGUUUGGAUGUUAAAGCUGAGGUGGUAUAAGAUGGGCAUGCGUCUGAUUAGGUAGUUGGUAGGGUAACGGCCUACCAAGCCGACGAUCAGUAGGGGUUCUGAGAGGAUUACCCCCCACACUGGUACUGAGACACGGACCAGACUCCUACGGGUGCAG